UACUUCCUGAAAUUUAGUAGCAUUCCUGUUAAUAUGCUUGAUUAUUCUAUUUCUACUUUCAAUCCAUCUUCUUCUCUUUGACAGAAGAAUUAACUGGGACUCYUUUGAUAUAUCUGAGGUUGAAUGCCUUUUCCCUGUCCCUUUAAAGACAACUAUGGUCUUGUUUCCUGUCCUAAUUUAUUAUUUUUUUUGCUUCGAUCUUCCACUCGAAGUUGAGUGGUUUGUCACAGAGUGUGUUAUGGCUUAGACCAAAAUAGGUCCCUUCUUAAUAGUUACUGAGGAAUUAAUCAUUUGUGGUGACAGACUUCUAAAAUUCAAAUUAAGAAGGCACUAAAGAAAGUAUGCCCAAAGAUAGCUCCUUUUUGUCCUGAGGAUAAGYCAUUACAAACUCAAAUGACCAGAGAAUGUAAUUUCUUAAUAAGAAUUUUUUCUUAAAUYUAUAUUCAGCUCUCUAUUUCAGUGCUUCUCUCCUACCAGAGGUGCAAGGAGUGAUCCUAGAACCACAGAUUCAGCCAAGACCACGGAGAGCUUUUGACGUCAGGGGUCCACUUUCUCUACUGAACCCUUGGAGACAGAAUAUCCAGCUUCUGGAGAGAGUGGGAAAGGAUAAUAAACAAAUUUCUUUCAACUGGUAAAACAUCAUACUUCUUCAGCAAAAGGAAUUCUUCUAGCAGAGCCUUCAUGGAUGAUAUCUGUCACACAUGCCAGCACCUGCAGUUUGGAAGGCAGUGGUGAAUGGAUCCAUGCAAUAUGUGUAGAAGACACAAGGAUGAGCGAGCAACCUGAUCUUGUUAUUUAUAAACUUUUAAGAUUUACUCUGGUUUACUCUUGUCCGAAAAUGAAAAGGCUCAAAUAAUGAAAUAAUCUUUUGAGAUUGGAUUUUUACAUGGCCAUGAAAAUAUUCCUUUCUAUUCAGAAGACUGAAAUAGAGGAAGCUUGAGAGACUCCUUUCUUUUAAAGCAGCUCUCUGUAUGUUUCAUUUAUAAGAUUUGUGGGACUGAAAAUCACCUUAAUGAAGUAGGCAAACUUUUUAAAAUAGUAUAGGAAAUCCAAAAAAAGCCAUGAAUUUUUUUGUUAUUGGCACUGAAAAGAACAAAUAAACAAAGGUUGAAUUUCUUAAUUACUCCAGAAUUACUUUUAAUAUUAGUUUUAAUCUUUAGCUCAUCUUUUGCUGAUCUUGAGCCUUAUUCUUAUUUGUCAAAUCAACAAAACUAGUAUAGAAAUAGAAGARACAUUUUUGAGAUCAGAGUAGCUUGGUCUGUCUUCUAAAGUAAUAAAUACCUAUUAAACUUGAGGUAUUGUUCUACACUGAAGGCCAACUAAAGUUUGAAUGAUGUUGUCACAUARCAGUAGUUUACAGAGCAAGGGCAAGUUGUGAUAUUAGAAUAAGCCAAUAGGUGUGAAUACAUGUUGCAAAAUACAUAUCCCAACUGUCAGUCAAGAGAAACAGUUAUCAAAAUGUUUGUUUCUUUUGGUCUAUUAACUGGUCAGUCAAAAGCUAUUAAAGAACUUUUUAAAAGUCA